GUCCCUGUAGCGCAAUGGAUUGCACGUUGGACAUCCAAUACAAAGAUCAUGGGUUCGAAUUCCAUCUGGGAUG
rnacentral:tRNA from 1 species